rnacentral:lncRNA from 1 species
AUUUCAUCAAAUUUCUUUGUUAAGUUGCACCACUAGGCUCCCCACGUUUGGGACUUCUAUGAUCAUAGGUACUCUAAACAGGUUAGAAUUAGGUUAGGGUUGGGUUAGAUCUAGUGUUAGAGUUAGAGUGAGGUUUGUUCAAAUUCAUUUGAUACUUGGCAUAAUUUGUCUUUUACCUAGCCUUACUAUUUUCCCCAGGUUUGGGCCUUAUCCCUUCAAUGGUUUGUUGUCAGGAACAGUUUGUAUUUUAAGGUUUCCUUCAUUUUGACCUAUACAGGUAAAUGGAAAUGGAACUUGAAAUCAAACAGGGUUGGUGCUCGCUGCUUAAAACUGCACACACUCAAUCAGUUCUAUGUGGGCACUCUGGUUUCUUCCUUGUGAAAGUUUCCCAAACCUAAAGCAUGCAAAAACAUCUUUAUCUGAAAGUACUGUUGGAGACAUCAGGGAAAUAUACAUGUACUGAACUACCUCCCCAAAUUAUUUGGUCAGAUUUCUUUGAUACUGCACAAGAUUCAUCUGUUAGCUUGCACCACUAGGCUCCCUUAAUUUGGGACUUCUUUGAUAAAAGGUUCUCUAAACAGAUUAGGGUUAGGUUUAUGGUUCAGGUAAGGGCUAGGUUUAAACCUAGUGUUAGGGUUAGAGUCAGUUUUGUUCAUGUAUCUUUGAUGCUGUGCAGGAUUCAUCUUCUACCUAGCCUCACAAAUUUCCCUGGUUUGGGCCUUCUCGUUCAAUAGUUUGCUGUCAGGAACAGUUUGUAUUUUAUGGUUUCACUUUAUUUUGAAGUAUUUUGUUGAAGAGAAAUGGAGCACAAAAUCAAACAGGGUUGGUGUUUUACUGCCUGAAACUGCACACACUCAAUCAGUU